CGUUAGACCAGAGUUCUUUUUUUUAACAUGCUAUUGUUAAAAUAAUGACUUCGAUAUUAAUCAUCGAUAUUAAUACCUUGAUAUUCGUUGGGAAAGCUGAUUAUUACGUUUAAGCAAUUUAACCGAGUCUUUCGCAAAGCGAUAAUAUUUUGCGAUCGUGUGAAGAGCGCUUAAACGUGAACGAUGUUGUUAGGUGAUGUGGGAGGGGGGGUGUGAAAACACGAUCGUCGGACCGGCAAGAGGAUCAGACGUGCCGCGCGCGUCUUACACGUAACAACCAUCUUACGUCGUCGUAUCGUCUCUCUCUCUCUCUCUCUCUUUCUCUUUGGCACAAUAAGUUCUCUGAAACAAUAAGAAUAACACAUCUCUUUUCGCAAUAUAUUUAUUUAUAUGAUAUAUUGAGAAAAAAUUUGUUGUAUUCUUUUGGAAUUUUUAUACUUGUUCUUUUUCUUUUUUUUUUCUUUUUCUUAUUUCUUUUUUUGUAAUCAUUUCAAGUGUAUGAUCGAAUCAGAAGUAAGUGUGUAUUCAAGUGCGCGUACGCGUAUAUACGUACGUAAAUGUGUGUGUGUGUGUGUAUAUAUGUGUAUGUGUGUAGAAUUUUACGGAGGAUAGAUCGUCGUGUGUCCGACAUAAAAAUUUAAAAAAUGACAUUCACUUUUGUAACGAAACGGUAAAAACUGCGAACACAAUACGUCGACAUGCGCAGUUAUAAAGUAUUACGCGCAAUAUAUAAUCGCGAGUACGACGUACGGCCGAUUGAUAAUCGCACACUCCGUUCGCGCGUUUCCUUGCGCGUGCAUUACGUGCUUGAGACAACCGACACAUAUUCGCAAACAUGGCUGACUAUACCUGCACGUGAUACGUUUCCGGUCGAAUGCUCUUCCUACAUAAGAAACAACGAUCGUUUUAAUUUUUUGUUAUCUUCGAUUUCGCGAUCGAUUUUAUUUUUAUUAAACUUUAUCCUUCGUUCUUCUAUCUUU